rnacentral:rRNA from 1 species
CUCGAGUGGCGAACGGGUGAGUAACACGUGAGUAACCUGCCCUUGACUUUGGGAUAACUUCAGGAAACUGGGGCUAAUACCGGAUAGGAGCUCCUGCUGCAUGGUGGGGGUUGGAAAGUUUCGGCGGUUGGGGAUGGACUCGCGGCUUAUCAGCUUGUUGGUGGGGUAGUGGCUUACCAAGGCUUUGACGGGUAGCCGGCCUGAGAGGGUGACCGGCCACAUUGGGACUGAGAUACAGCCCAG